AAUCAACGCUGGCGGCGUGCCUCAGACAUGCAAGUCGAACGAUUAAAGCUCUCUUCGGAGAGUGCAUAAAGUGGCGCACGGGUGAGUAACACGUAAGUAAUCUACCUUCGAGUGGGGAAUAACAUCGGGAAACCGAUGCUAAUACCGCAUAAUGCAGCGGCAUCGCAAGAUGACAGUUGUUAAAGAUUUAUCGCUUGAAGAGGAGCUUGCGGCAGAUUAGCUAGUUGGUAAGGUAAUGGCUUACCAAGGCUACGAUCUGUAACCGGUCUAAGAGGACGGUCGGUCACACUGACACUGAAUAACGGGUCAGACUCCUACGGGAGGCAGCAGUCGGGAAUUUUGGGCAAUGGGCGAAAGCCUGACCCAGCAACGCCGCGUGAAGGAUGAAAUCCCUCGGGAUGUAAACUUCGCAAGAACGGGAAGAAUAAGUAGGGGACAUACCCCUAUGAUGACGGCACCGUUUGUAAGCUCCGGCUAACUCCGUGCCAGCCGCCGCCGU
rnacentral:rRNA from 1 species